AGUCAAACUGAUAACCUUCUCGAACAAAUAAAUCACGGAAAAGCCUUUUCAAAUAGGAAUAAUCUGGUUUGUCUUCAAAACGCAAUGAUCGACAAUAAUGGAAGUAUGAUAUGAACUCUGAUGGAUAUGAUUUGCAAAGAACCUCAACAGGAGUUAACAUCUUCUUUUCACUGAUUUUAUCAUAUUUUUGCUUCUUUGUCCCUGCUUUAAGGCCCUGCCAGGGAAGACUGAAACCAAUGGUGCACAAACUAAGAAGAUGCAGUGAAUGAACAACCUCUCAUUGUUCAAUAAAAAAAAGCUUCAGAAGAAAAAUUAAAUAAGUCUAAGAUAACAGCUAUUAUAUUUUUUAACCUUCCCCUUAGGAAAUACAUGAGCACAUAACCAAGAGAUUCCAAGUCAUCUCUUCUGCUUUGUUCUGCAGACAGCCAAAAACAGUUAAAUUGCAACUUGAUACACCAAAAAAAAAGAAAAAAAAAUCUGAAAUUCUUUGUCCAGUAAUUAACAUUCAAUAACCAAAAUAGUAGUUUACCCACCAACUCCAAGGUGAGUGUUCACACUAGCAUAUCGUGCUGUGCCAGUGAGAUUCUUAUUUUCCCUGUAAGGUAUAUGCUUAUGUGUUUGAAGAUCCCUAUACUUUUUUGCAAGCCCAUAGUCAAUGAUGUAAACCUGAUUGGCUUUACGACCUAAACCCAUUAGAAAGUUGUCAGGCUUUAUAUCACGAUGAAGAAAACCUUUUGAGUGCAUAUACUCGAUUCUGUUAAUCAAUUGAUCUGCAAGCAUCAACACUGUUUUCAAAGAGAACUUCCUGUUGCAGUAGUUAAACAAGUCUUCAAGACUCGGCCCUAGAAGGUCAAUGACCAUGACAUUGUACUCACCCUCAACACCAAACCACUUGAGUUGAGGAAUUCCCGUUCCUCCUUGAAGUAGCAUGUAAAUUUUAGAUUCAUAGUGAAGCUGAGGGUGCUUGGUCCUUGCAGGUUCCAGCUUUAUACCAACUUCCUCUCCAUUCUGUACAUUAACCCCAAGAAAUAGCUCGCCAAAGGAUCCACCACCGAUCUUCCGACCCAUUUUGAACUUCCCCCCAACUAUAUGAUCCAUGACUAAACUUGAUUUGUACACCCAAUUGUGGAUUAAAAGAAAAAAAAGAAAAUUAAAGAACCUUAUUAUUUCAACACUCAAAAUCCAAAAAUCUCUUUUGAGUGGCAAAAUUUUGGAAGAAAAUUAUCACUCAGCUUUAAUUAUUUCAACAACAACAAACAAACAAAAAAAAAAUCUUAAUAAUGCAGUAUUAAUUCAAAACCAACUUGAUGAAUAUACAAACAUAUUAACAAAAAAAAUUCACAAACCAACAAAGGAUUUGCCCCACAAAUGAAAUAAAUGGAGAUCAAAACCCUGAAUAAUUAUAAAGAAGAACAUGGAAGCACAUUCCAUAAAAAUCAUAAAAUAAAAAUUCAAGAAAAUACAAAAUUCGCCAAAUUCAAUAAAAUUUUCAAGAAAUUAAAUCAAAUCGAAAGAAAAUACUGGAUGGAGAAGACAGUUCAUAAAAGAUACGAGAAAAGGAGUUCUGCAGAAAUGUUUUUUCGUUUGAUGCUUUUGAUUUCAAAUAAAAGAAAACAGAAGAAAAAAACAGUGUUUUGUUAAAACAACGAAAGCAGUUUCCUUGCUUUCUUUCUCUCCCUUCAAUUUUCCUGCUUUAGUCUUUUCUUCUAUCCAUUUUGACACUGUAAUUUCUCUCCCUCUCUCUCUCAUUCGCG
rnacentral:misc_RNA from 1 species